CCUACGGGAGGCAGCAGUGGGGAAUAUUGCACAAUGGGCGAAAGCCUGAUGCAGCGACGCCGCGUGAGGGAUGACGGCCUUCGGGUUGUAAACCUCUUUCAGCAGGGAAGCGGUACCUGCAGAAGAAGCGCCGGCUAACUACGUGCCAGCAGCCGCGGUAAUACGUAGGGCGCAAGCGUUGUCCGGAAUUAUUGGGCGUAAAGAGCUCGUAGGCGGUUUGUCGCGUCUGCUGUGAAAGCCCGGGGCUUAACCCCGGGUGUGCAGUGGGUACGGGCAGACUAGAGUGCAGUAGGGGAGACUGGAAUUCCUGGUGUAGCGGUGGAAUGCGCAGAUAUCAGGAGGAACACCGAUGGCGAAGGCAGGUCUCUGGGCUGUACUGACGCUGAGGAGCGAAAGCAUGGGGAGCGAACAGGAUUAGAUACCCUUGUAGUC
rnacentral:rRNA from 1 species